rnacentral:rRNA from 1 species
CUCUUUUAGUAAAUUUUGUGUUAAAAGUAGGGCCUGCCCAGUGCUUUAUUAAUUGAGAGUAAAUGGCGGCGUUGGCUUUAAAGUAGCAUAAUAAAUCGGCUUUUAAUUGGAGUCUGGAAAGAAUGGUUUGACGUGGUUGUAACUGUCUCCGCUGUAAUAAUUUAAAUUUUCUUCUAGGUGAAAAGACUUAGUUUAAGUUAAAAGACGAGAAGACCCCGAUGAGCUUAGUAUAUUAUUAAAAUUUCACAGUUUAGUGGUUAUUUUGUAAUUGGGGCAAUUGGGGAGUAAAAUAAACCUCCCUU